rnacentral:tRNA from 1 species
GCAUGUCUAGCUUAGUCGGUAGAGUGCAAGGCUUUUAACCUUGAGGUUGUGGUUCAAGCCCCAUGGUGGAUG